rnacentral:rRNA from 1 species
GACGAACGCUGGCGGCGUGCCUAAUACAUGCAAGUCGAGCGCUGACGGUUGGUACUUGUACCCACUGGAUGAGCAGCGGACGGGUGAGUAACGCGUGGGUAAUCUGCCUUUGAGCGGGGGACAACAUUUGGGAACGAAUGCUAAUACCGCAUAAAAACUUUAAACACAAGUUUUAAGUUUGAAAGAUGCAAUUGCAUCACUCAAAGAUGAUCCCGCGGUGUAUUAGUUAGGUGGUGAGGUAAAGGCUCACCAAGGCGAUGAUACAUAGCCGACCUGAGAGGGGGCGCGGCCAAGCUGGGAUGUGAGAACGGCCCAAAACCCUGGGGGAGGGAACCGGAGGGGAAUCUUGGGAAAGGACGAAAGGCUGAACGAGGAACGACGGGCGAGUGAAGGAGGUUUUCGGGUCGUAAAACUCCUUUGGUAGGGAAGGAAGUUAGGGAGAGUUGAAAGCGCAUAUAGUGACGGUACCUACCCAAAAAGCGACGGCUAACUACGUG